GGAAAAUAUGUACAGAUGGUAUGUGCUAGAAAGUCGAAACAUCUGUCAGAAGUUUCCUAAUCAAGCAGUGGUUUUGUUGCUGAUAUUGACACAUCUUCAUGACAAUUUGAUUGCGUGUGACUGCUCCAUUGAAAAUCCUGUUCCCGCUUUGGUUUGGCUUUGGUUCCAUUCAAACGGAGCCAAACCAUUAAAGACUGAUAGUCCCACUGAUUAGGUUGUUUACGACGUGUGAAAUACCAAUUCGGACCUAUAUAUUUUGGUUUUGAUUUAUUUUAGUUCAGUUUGGUCCGCAUCAUUUGAGAUGCUAUUUUGAGAUAUCGCACUUUUGAUGUCACUAAUAUGUGAGAAUUUGUUACUGUGCAGCCGAGUCUGUGGGAACCCCCAUGGGUUGAUCAGGAAAUAUGGCCUGAUGUGCUGCAGGCAGUGCUUCCGUAGCAAUGCAAAGGAAAUUGGGUUCAUCAAGUAUCGCUGAAGUUUGAUCGCAUCAGAGGGGGUAAUUUAGGUACAAUCUGAGUUAUGGUUAGGAGGAGCUGCUGGCUUUUUGAUUGUGUCCAUUUGGAGUAAUUUCCCCUUUUUUUUUUCCAAGUGUUUACGAGAUUUAGUUUAUUCAGCAUGUUAGACUGGCCAAAGUUUCUCCCAAACAAAUUAUUUGAUGAAUAGUCAAGUUCCUUUUACUCUGCUUUUAUGAAGUAUAGAUAGGCUUAUUAUUAUUUAUAGCAAUUCAGAUUUGAGCA